rnacentral:rRNA from 1 species
GACGAACGCUGGCGGCGUGCCUAAUACAUGCAAGUUGAGCGCUGAAGGUUGGUACUUGUACCGACUGGGUGAGCAGCGAACGUGUGAGUAACGCGUGUGGAAUCUGCCUUUGAUCGGGGGACAACAUUUGGAAACGAAUUCUAAUACCGCAUAAAAACUUGAAACACAAGUUGUAAGGUUGAAAUAUGCAAUUGCAUCACUCAAAGAUGAUCCCUCGGUUUUUUAGGUAGUUGGUGAGGUAAAGGCUCACCAAGGCGAUGAUGCGUAGCCGACCUGAGAGGGGGGUUGGCCAAAUUGGGAGGGAGACACGGCACAAAGUCCUACGGGAGGGAGCAGGAGGGAAACUUCGGCAAUGGGUGGAAGUCUGACCGAGAUGCGCCGAGGGAGUGAAGAAGGAUUUCGGAUGGGAAAAGUCGGUUGGUAGGGAAGAACGUUGGUGAGCGUGGAACGCACAUCAAGCGACGGUAACUACAAAGAAAGCGACGGCUAACUACGUG